rnacentral:rRNA from 1 species
AUGUGUGGCUGGUGCGGCUGCCUCGAGUGCAUCCAUAACAUCCCUCCCCUCAAUCUCCUCUUCCUCCACUUCUCCUCGGCUGCACGGACGGGAAGGGAGGGAGAAGAAGGAGCGCGAACGCUCAGCCCCAUGGCCUCCAUCUCGGUCCCGGACCCCGCCCCUUCCCCGACCGAGGAUGCAGAGAGCAUCAGAAAAGCAGUGCAAGGGUGGGGGACGGACGAGAACGCGCUGAUCGAGAUCCUGGGCCACCGGACGGCGGCGCAGCGCGCGGAGAUCGCCGUCGCCUACGAGGGCCUCUACGACAAGCCCCUCCUCCGCACGCUCCAGGACGAGCUCUCCAGCCACUUCAAGGGCGCGAUGACGCUGUGGGCGAUGGACCCGGCGGCGCGGGACGCCAAGCUGGCCUACAAGGCCCUCAGGAAGAAGGGCGGCGACCGGCACGCCUGGGUGCUCAUCGAGGUCGCCUGCGCGUCGUCGCCGGACCACCUCGUCGCCGUCAGGAAGGCCUACUGCUCCGCCUACGACUCGUCGCUCGAGGAGGACGUCGCCGCCUGCCCGCUCUACAAGGACCCCCUCAAGCAGUUCUUGGUGCGCCUGGUGAGCUCGUACCGCCACGGCGGCGAGCACGUCGACGGCGAGCUGGCGAGGGCCGAGGCGGCCGAGCUGCACGGCGCGGUGGCGGCCAAGAAGCAGCCGCUGCACGGGGACGUGGUCCGCAUCGUCAGCUCCAGGAGCAAGCCGCAGCUCAAGGCGACGUUCCAGCACUACAAGCGAGAGCACGGCAAGGCCAUCGACGAGGUUCUCGAGGGCAAUCGCAACGACAAGCUGUCGGCGAUGCUGAAAACUGCGGUCUGGUGCCUGACAUCGCCGGAGAAGCACUUCGCAGAGGUAAUACUCAAAAGCUCAACCUUUUCCAGGCUGCUUCAGUUCCGAUGCUCUUCAUGGCUCUGCCUUUUCCAGGUGAUCCGGAGCUCGAUCAUCGGGCUCGGCACCGACGAGGAAUCCCUGACCAGAGCGAUUGUCUCGCGCGCCGAGGUCGACUUGAAGAAAGUGAAGGAGGAAUACAAGGUGAGGUACAAGACGACGGUGACCAAGGAUGUCGUCGGAGACACCUCCGGGUACUACCAGGGCAUCCUGCUCACCCUCAUCGGGGCCGAGUAG